GACGAACGCUGGCGGCGUGCUUAACACAUGCAAGUCGAACGGAAAGGCCCUGCUUUUGUGGGGUGCUCGAGUGGCGAACGGGUGAGUAACACGUGAGUAACCUGCCCUUGACUUUGGGAUAACUUCAGGAAACUGGGGCUAAUACCGGAUAGGAGCUCCUGCUGCAUGGUGGGGGUUGGAAAGUGUCGGCGGUUGGGGAUGGACUCGCGGCUUAUCAGCUUGUUGGUGGGGUAGUGGCUUACCAAGGCUUUGACGGGUAGCCCGCCUGAGAGGGUGACCGGCCACAUUGGGACUGAGAUACGGCCCAGACUCCUACGGGAGGCAGCAGUGGGGAAUAUUGCACAAUGGGCGGAAGCCUGAUGCAGAAACGCCGCGUGCGGGAUGACGGCCUUCGGGUUGUAAACCGCUUUCGCCUGUGACGAAGCGUGAGUGACGGUAAUGGGUAAAGAAGCACCGGCUAACUACGUG
rnacentral:rRNA from 1 species